AUUGAACGCUGGCGGCAGGCCUAACACAUGCAAGUCGAGCGGAUGAAGGGAGCUUGCUCCUGGAUUCAGCGGCGGACGGGUGAGUAAUGCCUAGGAAUCUGCCUGGUAGUGGGGGAUAACGUCCGGAAACGGGCGCUAAUACCGCAUACGUCCUGAGGGAGAAAGUGGGGGAUCUUCGGACCUCACGCUAUCAGAUGAGCCUAGGUCGGAUUAGCUAGUUGGUGGGGUAAAGGCCUACCAAGGCGACGAUCCGUAACUGGUCUGAGAGGAUGAUCAGUCACACUGGAACUGAGACACGGUCCAGACUCCUACGGGAGGCAGCAGUGGGGAAUAUUGGACAAUGGGCGAAAGCCUGAUCCAGCCAUGCCGCGUGUGUGAAGAAGGUCUUCGGAUUGUAAAGCACUUUAAGUUGGGAGGAAGAGCAGUAAGUUAAUACCUUGCUGUUUUGACGUUACCAACAGAAUAAGCACCGGCUAACUUCGUG
rnacentral:rRNA from 1 species